UGGGGAAUAUUGGACAAUGGGCGCAAGCCUGAUACAGCCAUGCCGCGUGAGUGAAGAAGGCCUUCGGGUUGUAAAGCUCUUUUGUCCGGAAAGAAAUCCUGUCGGUUAAUACCCGGCGGGGAUGACGGUACCGGAAGAAUAAGCACCGGCUAACUUCGUGCCAGCAGCCGCGGUAAUACGAAGGGUGCAAGCGUUACUCGGAAUUACUGGGCGUAAAGCGUGCGUAGGUGGUUCGUUAAGUCUGAUGUGAAAGCCCUGGGCUCAACCUGGGAACUGCAUUGGAUACUGGCGAUCUGAGUGCGGUAGAGGGUGCGAAUUCCCGGUGUAGCAGUGAAAUGCGUAGAUAUCGGGAGGAACAUCCGUGGCGAAGGCGGCACCCUGGACCAGCACUGACACUGAGGCACGAAAGCGUGGGGAGCAAACAGGAUUAGAUACCCUGGUAGUCCACGCCCUAAAACGAUGCGAACUGGAUGUUGGGUGCAACUUGGCACUCAGUAUCGAAGCUAACGCGUUAAGUUCGCCGCUGGGAAGUACGGUCGCAAGACUGAAACUCAAAGG
rnacentral:rRNA from 1 species